rfam:Cavia porcellus supercont2_36 genomic scaffold, whole genome shotgun sequence.
UCUCCAUCUGAAUCAGUGAGUUCAAUGGAGA